rnacentral:rRNA from 1 species
CUACGGGAGGCAGCAGUGGGGAAUAUUGGACAAUGGGCGCAAGCCUGAUCCAGCCAUACCGCGUGGGUGAAGAAGGCCUUCGGGUUGUAAAGCCCUUUUGUUGGGAAAGAAAAGCAUUCGGUUAAUACCCGGGGUCUGACGUACCCAA